rnacentral:rRNA from 1 species
CGUGGACAACCUACCCUGGUGACCGGGACAACUGGCCGAAAGGCUUGCUAAUACCGGAUAAGCCCACGACUCCUCCGGGAGAUGAGGGAAAAGGCGGCCUCUGUAAACAAGCUGUCACAUCAGGAUGGGUCCGCGGCCCAUCAGCUAGUUGGCGGGGUAACGGCCCACCAAGGCAACGACGGGUAGCUGGUCUGAGAGGAUGGUCAGCCACACUGGGACUGAGAUACGGCCCAG